UUUUUAGGAAGAAUUAAUAUCACCUUGCAUUAGUAGUUCUUGACAUACUCGUACUUAAGACAUUGUGAGGAUCACCAUGAUGUUAAGGUAAAUGACGCCAUUGCACAGUAGUGCUCAGUUCUUCACUGUACACCUCAUGCAGUCACCCAGUAGGGUAGGGGGCUUUCAGUUUGUUCAGUGCAGGUUGUCUUGGGUGAGGUAGUGCUCAGUGAUUUUCAGUGUGUCGCUGUUAGGCAGUUAUCUGCCUGCCUUUGUUGGGGGGAGGGGGGGUCGCUUUCAGGUCUGACGUGAGGAUGCAGGGAUUCCCAGCGGCGACACAUUCCCUCCUCACAUUGCCGCCUUUUCUCCUGGUCUGCCUCCACCGUAACACAAGUAGACUGAUGUACAUUUUUGCUACAUUAGUUGUCUUAAUUGGCACAUCCACCAAUGCCCUUUCUACGCUACUCUUUUGGUUACUUUGUUUACUUAUCUAUACUGGUCUUUGGAGACAGUCUGCGAUCUUAAAGCACCUAUUUUGGUGGAACCAGUUGAUUUCUGUGUAAUGUUGCUUAAUACAUUUAUAGUUGUUUUUAUGCUUGUGAAAGAGCUUUGGACUUCUAAGCAAUCGCCAAGAUUGGGCACAAAACAGCCCUGUCGGACAUGGCCACCCCCGGAAGGCAGGCUGCUUUCAGCCAGCCGCCCCAAACCCGUCUCUAAACUGCUGCUUCGGCACCAUCCUUUGGGUUUCAAAUUCUGAAGCAGUGACCUCCCUUGUCUGGCCUCGGCUGACUUUCCCUUCGGUUGUGUGGCAAGACUUGUUGUUCCUCCCAGUUGUUCAACUUUCCAAUCUUGAAAAUUGCAUGCACCCUGUGAUGGUUCUCCAUUUAUUACCUUUUAACUAAUGUGCUUUUAAUCCAGUCAGGGUGUGAGAACAGACCUGGCUUCCAACAUUAAUAUCCUCUGUCGUUCGGCCGUGCAGAUCCCUCCGCGCUUUCGACGUGCCUUUCUGACGGGCUGAUGGCGAUUUCGUUAGUUUGUGUUUUGUUCUCCAGGACACAGCACUCCAAUGCAGGGCCGCUUCCCCAUUCGCUUCGAGUCUGCAUUUAUAUUAAAUGACCUCUAUGGAUCGGUAAUGCGAAGAUCUGUGAGAACUGCUUACCAAUGCUGAGCUGAUUAUCGCUUACUAUUUCUAAGAUGUAACUGAGCACUGGAUUCACCGUUCAUCAUUAACCCCCACCCCACCCCCCACCAUGGAAAGGCUGUGGUCGGCACCAGUUCUUCCUGAAAACAUUGUAACUAUGUAGCGCGCUUCGUGACGACGUCUCGACAGCGAUUAGCCAGAUUCCUGACCCUCCUGACUCUCAGGCCGCUGCCUUGAUCAUUGAUCCCUGACGGAAACACGUUUGAGAUUCGCUCCAUUUUGAAAAUGGAUUCUCUCCUGGUCACUCCGCUUUCACUAGCCACGCACGAACACACACAGCUUCCCCGCGCCGGUCACUCAACCUGGUGAGCGGUCUGACAGGGGUGCCCCCCCCCCAGCAAAUGGUUUGAGGAACAGUGAGAUUGGUUAUCCCACUUAUGCUCCUGUUUUCUCAGUAGUAAGAUGUUCUCUUAGGAUAGGCAGAUGGGAGGGGUAGGGGGGCAUAGCACAAAGGGCACAUUCUAGUAGCAGUGUUGUAGCUCGUAGUUUUAGGUCAGUGUUUCUCAACCCGGUCCUCAGGAGCCCCUGUCCAGUCCACGUUUUUGCUCCCUCCCAGCUCCCAGCCAGACAGCCUACUUUUUUGCUCUCUACUGGGAGUUGGGAGGGAGCAAAAACAUGGACUGCUGGGGACCCACAUGGACCGGGUUGGGAAACACUAUUAGGUCAUUCACAGGAUUUUUGGAGGAGUCUGUCCACUCCAGUUCCUGCACUCCAGGCACGCCUGUUAGGAGUCCGUAUACUCCGGCUGAGUGUCCGUGUUCAGUCUCAGACUGGCUUUGUUAUCACGAGAUCAGGCUGUUCUUGCAUAGUUUUGAAUUUUACUCCUAACACUGGGAAAUGUAAUUGCUGUUCGAUUACUCCCAUGUUGUCUUGUAAAAGAUUGCUUAAAUUAAGGUACAAGUUAACUUCAAGAAAAAAGUUUGUUUCUUAUAUUAUACUCCAUUAAGGAAUGUUUAGAAUUAUAUUUCUCCAAUGUGGAUGUAGCUGAUAAUAUACCAUUUUCUUCGUAAAAGAAUUCACUGUGUGAAAAUUUGUUUGCAUUUUUGUAUAAUACAAUCUGCUUCUUGUUUCUUUUGACUUGGGAAGGGAUGACAAACUGGAAGUUUGGGGGAAAAAUAUAAAAAAAAACUGUGAAAUUAAAAAUGUAAGUUAUGUGUAACAGUGAUUCUUUACUGGCAGGGACUGUGAUUAAAUAAUUGUAAAUCU